rnacentral:ncRNA from 1 species
AACAAGUUUGAUUCUUGCUUAACAUUCUUAUUAUAUAAAAAUAUAAUACAUGAAAAUAUCUAUAUUCCUAUCAUAUUUUUGUUAAAAACAAAAUAAUAAAUCUCAGUAUAUAAUAUUAAACAAUUAACUAAAGUUAGAUUUAAUUUUUAUAUUUAUUCUGGUAAAAAUUUGUGCCAGCAACCGCGGUUAUACUUUAAGAAAAAAUAAGAAAUCAUUAAUCUAUAGUUGCUCGUAUAAUACCUUUUAUAAAAAUUUUAUCAAUAUAAAGAGUAAAAUCAAUUUAAAUUUAAUAACCUUUUUAUAAAUAGUAUUUAAAAAAAUCUAUAAAAAUUAAAAUAUAAACUAGGAUUAGAUACCCUACUAUAUUUAAUCUUAAACAUAAAAGAUUGAUUACUAAAAAUUAUAUUUUAUAAACUCAAAGAAUUUGGCGGUAUUUUAAUCUAAUUAGAGGAACUUGUUUUAUAAUCGAUAACCCCCGUUAAAUUUCUCUUAUUUUAAAUAGCCUGUAUACCGUCAUUAUUAAAUAAUUUUUAUUGAAAAAAUUAUUAUAAAUAAAUUUUCUUAAAUAUAUUAGAUCAAGGUGCAGCUAAUAAAUAAGUAAAAAUGAGUUACAAUAAUAAUUUAUUUAAACGAAUUAUAUUUUUAAAUAAAUGUAUAAAGGAGGAUUUAAUUGUAAAUAAAAAUAAAAAAUUGAUAUUAGCUAUAAAAUAUGUACAUAUCGCCCGUCGCUUUCACUAAAAAUGAGAUAAGUCGUAACAUAGUAGAUGUACCGGAAGGUGCAUCUAGAAUUUA